CUUAGUCUUUCAAAAGACUGUCCAAACUGUAGAGCAAAGGCUCAACUCAAGUCUGCUGUACCAGUGAAGGUGUUAGACACUACAAUAAACAAAAUAGCAGAUGAAGUUCUUUCUCCAAAGGAACUGGGAGAGAGGCAUCUAAAAAUUUAGGAGAUGAGCAAAGAAGCAAAAAUGAAAACUCCAAAGAAAGUUGUGCCUACUUCAUCAAUCAGUGUAGUGAUGUGAAAGUGAAUCUGAUCAAGAAAGUAGUGACAGUGAGAAUUACUCAGAAGAGGAGUCUGACUACUUUGAUUAUUCUUACGGUGUCGAGCAUACGCGCAGCGGACGAGCACAGUGCAGAACUUGCGGCAGCCCCAUUCCAA